UAUGUAUUUAUGGGGCUAGGAUUUGGUAGUUGGUACUGAGAGAAAACCUUGUUUGAAUCCUUACCCUGGUACUAUACCAGUAUCAGCUGUCACUCAGUGGGACAGAC
rnacentral:snoRNA from 1 species